GACGAACGCUGGCGGCGUGCUUAACACAUGCAAGUCGAACGGAAAGGCCCUGCUUGCAGGGUACUCGAGUGGCGAACGGGUGAGUAACACGUGGGUGAUCUGCCCUGCACUUCGGGAUAAGCCUGGUAAACUGGGUCUAAUACCGGAUAGGAGCCAUUUUUAGUGUGAUGGUUGAAAAGUUUUUUCGGUGUAGGAUGAGCUCGCGGCCUAUCAGCUUGUUGGUGGGGUAAUGGCCUACCAAGGCGGCGACGGGUAGCCGGCCUGAGAGGGUGGACGGCCACAUUGGGACUGAGAUACGGCCCAGACUCCUACGGGAGGCAGCAGUGGGGAAUAUUGCACAAUGGGCGCAAGCCUGAUGCAGCGACGCCGCGUGGGGGAUGACGGCCUUCGGGUUGUAAACUCCUUUCGCUAGGGACGAAGCUUUUUGUGACGGUACCUAGAUAAGAAGCACCGGCUAACUACGUG
rnacentral:rRNA from 1 species